UACGGGGGGGGCAAGCGUUGUUCGGAAUUACUGGGCGUAAAGCGCACGUAGGCGGCGCCGUAAGUCAGGGGUGAAAUCCCGGAGCUCAACUCCGGAACUGCCCUUGAAACUGCAGUGCUAGAAUCUUGGAGAGGCGAGUGGAAUUCCGAGUGUAGUGGUGGAAUGCGUAGAGAUCCGGAGGAACACCAGCGGCGAAGGCGGCGUCCUGGACUGGACCUGACGCUCAGGAGCGAAAGCGUGGGGAGCGAUCCGG
rnacentral:rRNA from 1 species